rnacentral:rRNA from 1 species
AGUGAACGUUGGCGGCGUGGAUUAGUCAUGCAAGUCGAGCGAGAACCGUAGCAAUACGGGGACAGCGGCGAAAGGGACAGUAAUGUGUAGGUACCUACCCCGAGGUCUGGGAUAGCUGCGGUAAACUGCAGGUCCUACCGGCUAAUUUCUUCGGACCAAAGGUGUGAUUCUACAUUGGGAGGGGCCUGCAUCCUAUUAGCUAGUUGGCGGGGUAACGGCCCACCAAGGCGACGACGGGUAGCGGGUGUGAGAGCCCGACCCGCGUCAUUGGGACUGAGAAACUGACCAGACACCUACGGGUGGCUGCAGUCGAGGAUCUUCGGCAAUGGGCGCUAGCCUGACCGAGCGACGCCGCGUGCGGGAUGAAGGCCUUCGGGUUGUAAACCGCUGUCGUAGGGGAGGAAAUGCAGGUGGGUUCUCCCUCCUGUUUGACCUAUCCUAGGGGGAAGUACGGGCUAAGUUCGUGCCAGCCGCCGCGGUAA